rnacentral:tRNA from 2 species
GAUGGUGUGGCUCAGUUGGUAGAGUACUUGGCUAGCAUGCAAGAAGCUCUGGGUUCCAUUCCUCGUACCACA